UAUAUAUUAUUUUAUAUAUAUAUUGUGUGUGUGUGUGUGUGUGUGUGUGUGUGUGUAUACAUUUUCCCUUUUCAUCAUCAAAAGCAAAACUCAGGCCAGGGGAAAUGGAUCCAAGUGGGGAGGGGAGACAUGGAUAAAGCAUGCUCUCUAAGCGUCAGGCAGCCUCGGUGAUAUCCCUCACCAAUCCUGAAGCCCCUGAAACAGGGAGAACAAAGCAGUGGGCUUGCCCAGCAGCUGUCCCUUGCAGAAGCCCUGCUGGGCCUACCCAGCUCCACCUCCUCCUGGUGGGCAGUUACUCUGGGCUUGCAGGAAAUGCCUUAAUUAAAAUGCUGGCCACACAGACAACUUAGCAGGCUGUGCGUCUGCAGCAGCAGGAAAUCCUCACAAUCCCCAGGCUCCCAGGGAUCCUAAGGAACCCAGUCAAGAUGGUGGAAAGACCUAAGUGGCAAACUUAGGCCACUGGGCCCUUCCUGGUGGUGUAGAUAGCUAAGGAUAGCAUCAUAGACUCUUCAAAUUCCACAGAUUCCUGAGUUGAAAGAAACACAACUAUGCCAAAUGGCUCUGAACAUUUUGAGAAGUAAAACACUUUGGGAGGUAAAUGACCUCUAACAAACUCAAGAAGCAGUCACAUGCAUUCUAACUUUUGCAGGCAGUUCACAGGCUCCAAGUUAUGAUCUCGUCUAGGGGUUGGGAAACUACAGCCUGAGGACCAAAUCUGGCCCCCCAUCUGUUUUUGUAAAUGAAGUUUUACCGGAACACAGCCAUGCCCAUUCAUUUACAGUAUGGUCUAUGGCUGCUUUCGGACGACAAGGGCAGAACUGAAUAGUUGUGACAGAGACCGUUUGGCCUGCAGAACCUAAAAUAUUUACUGUCUAACCCAGUAUGGAAAAAAAUUUUUUUUUACUGGAUCUAAUUAUUCCCUGAUCUGGAUCAGCUCCUCAUUUCACAGAUGAAGAAACUCAGGCCCAGAUGGGUUAAGAACUUGUAGCGUAGCAGGACCAAGAACUGAACCCAAACUCCUGACUCCUAGCCCAGUGCUCUUCAACACUGUCUGGAUUUGAAUGAAGAUCCUUCCAUCAUCACCAUCUCAAUCCAGCAAGCAUUUCUGUGAUGUACCACCAUGCCACUCUCGCCACUGUCUGGGAGACACCUGAUUGCUAGAUGCCUUCAUACCUGAAGGGUUUGCUGUCAGGGUCAGUGUCCUUGAACCCCAUCUCUUCAAGCUUACAGCGUCGGUACAAUUCAUAGUGGCGGGUGUGAGUCUGCUCUCGCAAGUCCUCCAUGUUCACGCGGAUCAGCAUCUCUCGAAGUUUCACAAAAUCGCAAUGAUUUUCAUUCUCAACUACAAGAGAGGGGGGAAAUGGCGGAAGUGGGAUUAGCAAUGAUGUCACUGAAAUAUCUGCAGUGAUGCUUCCAAGAUGUUAUUACCAUCACUCCUGAAAUCUCUGGGGUCUCAAGACCAUCUGAAGAUCCUUUACUGGAUUCACCUUACAUUCCUGACGAAGACAAGAUUUCUGACAACAUUGACCAUAAUACUGAUGACAACGCUGACUGCUGAGUGCCUACUCAGCACAGAGCACAGAGGGAGGAGCUUGAAAACAAAUAUUGUCUUUACCCUUCAUAAUAACUCUGCCAACUAGAUGUCAUGACUCUUGCUUUGCAGACGCAGGAGCUUGGUGAGCAAGCUGACCUCCCAAAGAGAGGUAGCAGGGUCUAGAUUCAAAUGCCAGAACAUCUGGCCCAAAGCCAGAUGUAUUUGUACCACUCCAUGCUGUCUAUAACUGUGCAGGGCCACUUUUACAUACCACUUCAUUUAAUUUUAUCAACAACACUAGGAAGAAAGGAGUUUUCUUAUUGUAGAGAAAUUAGUAAGAGUAAGAAAAAUUGUAUUUUUCCCAGGGAUCUCAAAGGUACUGUUUCUUCUCACAGCUUUAUUGCCUUUAUUCAAAACAGAGGAAAAGGAGGUCUGAUACAUCUUAAACCAGCGAAGAACUUUCUUUAGCCAUCCUGCUUAAUCCAUAGCACUGGAUGUCCUCCUUCAGAACAUAAGAGUAGGUCAUAGAGUCCUUGUCAUUCAAAGUGACACACGUGACAAGCUUUCAGGUUAGACUGUGGCCAUGUCCCACAGUGCCAAAUAUAGAUCAAAUAUUCUCCUAAGUCUCAGAUUUACUAAGAUAACAUUUUAUUAGAAGACAUUUUUUGCAUAGUUGAUGGAGAAAAAAGUACCCUCUUGUUUGCAAGAAACUUUUUGCUGCUUUUUAAUACUUGGCUGAUGAAACGAGCUCCAACUCCUAGGGAAGAACUAUUUUUCAAUCAGGACUUUAUAUUAAUUCCCUACACAACCCAGCAUCCUUGAGGGGUUACCUCAAGGGCUUGGCAGCCAUGUCUCUCCAUUGUCUACCUAGCUGAUUACUUUUUCUUUCUUCCUCACCUCCACGAUUGUCACAUGUGGAGCCCCACCACUCCCUCCCACUGCCAGCCCACUGUUGAGGGCCUCCCUAAACAAGACGGAAAAUGAACAAACACGGCCAUUCACAUAGGGGCUAAAUAUGAAGACUCCAUCUCCCAUGCUGUGCACAUACCCUGCACCACACCCCAGGGGUACUGCCUGGCCUUUGCCAUCUUGUUGCCAAUCUUCACCUCUUCGGUGCUGCCAACCACUGCAAAUGGGAGAUGGACCUGCCAAGCAAAAGGACAGAGAAUAGUUACUUUCCCCUGCUCUGACAGACUGGUUUCCACCAGUCUCUAUCUUCUCCCUCCUUCUGCAGGCCUCUACUUGGUGACAAGGGAAAAGCAGGCUGCAGUUUGGUGGGUGGAUGUCACGUAUCCCACCCCCCUUAUAACCAAACACUGAGUAUGAGACACGAGCUAGAUUCAAGGGAAAAGUGUAUGAGUCUUUGCAACUAUAAAGUAAGCUUAAGACUUGUGCUAGCCGAUGCAGUAGCCACUAACUAUAUGUGACUGUUGAGCACCUGAAAUACAGCUUGUAGGAACAAGAAAUUGAAUAUCUAACUUUUAAUUAGUUUACAUCUAAAUUUAAAAUGGAAGCAACGUAAAAUAUUUUUCAAUUAAAUGCAACUUUAUUGUUUUGGCAAAACUGCAUUUCACUUUGCUUCAAACUCAAAUCUUCUGAAAAAGACCAAGGUAGAUGGCAAGGUAGACACAAAGAUUAAAGAUAAAGUAUCUUUUUGGCACUUAUUUCAUAUUGAAAAUCUUUAAGGUAUGUUAGGAGAAACCUGUAUGUAAAUUUAACUUUUUAGCUGUGAAUUUUACAAAAUGUAAAUACAGAUAAAAUAUUUUUGGUGAAAAUUCAGUCCACGAUGAGAUAUGCUGUCAUUGUAAAAUAUACACUGGAUCUCAAAGACCUACAUUAAAAUAUCUUUUUUUUUUUUUUUGAGAUGGAGUCUCGCUCUGUUGCCCAGGCUGGAGUGCAGUGGCGCGAUCUCGGCUCACUGCAAGCUCUGCCCUCCGGGUUCACGCCAUUCUCCUGCCUCAGCGUCCCAAAUAGCUGGGACUACAGGCACCGGCCACCAUGCCCAGCUAAUUUUUGUAUUUUUAGUAGAAACGGGGUUUCACCGUGUUAGCCAGGAUGGUCUCGAUCUCCUGACCUUGUGAUCCGCCCGCCUUGGCCUCCGAAAGUGCUGGGAUUACUCCGAAAGUGCUGGCGUGAGUCACCGUGCCCAGCCUAAAAUAUCUAAUAAUUUUUAUAUUGAAUACAUGUUGAAAUUAUAUUUUGCAACAUAUUGGGUUAAGUCCUUAAAAUUAAUUUCACAUUUCUUUUUACUUUUUUAAGGUAGCUACUAGAAAAUUUUAAAAUACUUGUGUGUCUCACAUUAUAGUUCUAUUUGAACAACACUGCUUUAGACAGUUGACUAUUGCACAAAUUUCUAAGUCCGAAACACACUUUAGCCCAAAUUACUGGCUCAAGCUAUGCACCCAGAUUUAUCUGAAGUAGAGAUGGUGUCCAAGACAACUGACUCUUUCACAUUGGUUUAUUUGGUAGUUAUCACUGCAUUCUGAGUGAGGGAGGAAAUAAUAAUCCUAUCUUUUUUCUAUUAGCAUGUAAGAAUAAGAUUUGAAAUAGCUGCUCCAAGAAUUAUUAUUUAGAGUUCCUUGAUCCAGUGUUCUUCCACCAUAGAUACACUGAGAAAGAAGAUAAAGUUUUCAAGCCAAUUCCUCUCCUACAAAGAACUUGGCAUAAUCAUUGGCUCAGAUUGCCCAAGUAGCAUUUUGUUGGACGCUCAAGAUAUUGAAAUGUUCUAGUUCAUCUCACACCCUAAGAAGGAAAGAAAGCACAUUAUCUUUCUCAAACAAGUCUGAGUUUCAGACCUGAACCCUAUUGUUUCCCCUGAAGUUGAGGAGCAACAGGACCUUUCUGGUCAAUAUUUUGGUGUAAUGACCAAGGAAAUUUCUCCACUCAAAUGUAACAAAAGCAACUGCCAGUGGAAUCUGUUUUCCUCAGACAUUACGUGGAAUUUGAUCAGCAAGAAUAGUUUGUAAUGAAGAGCCUAAAAGAAAAUUUCUUUAAAGAGCAGGAUUAAUUUGGAAUGUCAGAGAUUCAGUUCUAUUAAUCUGAUAAAGAGAGAAAGAGAGCAAAAAUUCUUGGGUAUUUUAUUUCCAAUAAGUUUAACAAAGAUAUAGUUCCAUGACUAGAAAAUAAUGAAAAAUUAUCUAGAAGGAUAGGAAUAUAAAGAAAAAUUACAUAGCAGUCAUUCAUGAUACUUCCUGAAUCCCACACUGACAUCCCAAAUUACAGUUCUACAGCAGAAUAAAGGAGUGCCAUCUCAGUUUGAGAUUUUGACCUUCCUAUAAAAAAGUACAGACCUCCUGCAGUAUCCACAGGGUACCGGUUCCAGGACUGUCCAUGGACACUGAAAUCUGCAGGUGCUCAAAUCUCUGAUAUAAAAUGGUAUAGUAUUUACAAAUAACCUAUGCACAUCCUCCUGUAUACUUUAAAUCAUCUCUAAAUUACUUAUAAUAUCUAAGACAAUGUAAACACUAUAUAAAUAGUUAUUAUACUCUAUUUAAAAAAAUUUUUUUUGUAGAAUUUAUUUUUUAUUUUCUUGCUAUGUUGACCAGGCUGGUCUUGAGCCCCUGGCCUCAAGUGAUCCUCCCUCCUCGGCCUUCCAAAGUGCUGGGAUUACAGGUAUGAGCCACUGUGCCUGGCCAUAUAUAUAUAUAUAUGUGUAUAUAUAUAUAUAUAUAUAUAUGUGUAUAUAUAUAUAUAUGUGUAUAUAUAUAUAUGUGUGUGUAUAUAUAUGCUAUAUAUAUAUUUUAGCAUAUAUAAUAUAUAUGCUAUAUAUAUUAUAAAAACAAUAAUACAAAAUAUAUAUAUAUGCUAUAUAUAUACACAUAUAUAUAUAUAUUUUGUAUUAUUGUUUUUAUUGUUGCAUUUUUUUUUUCCAAAUAUCUUUGGUCCAUGGUUGGUGAAAUCCAUGGAUGCCGAGGCUGAUGGUACACUGCUCUGCUCGGGCGGCAGUACACAGGGUGAGAGUGUAGCCUGACAGCCAAAGCCUGGGUUCCAAUUCUACCUCCACUACCCACAGCCAUGCAAUCUUAGGUGCUGUGCUGCAGUCUCCUCAUAUAUGAGGGAGGAAUAAUAACAGCACCUACCUAUGCAACUGUUGUGAGGAUUAAAUGGAAAGUCUUGAACAGUUCCUGGUGCAUAGUAAAUGCUCCAGAAAUGUGAAAAAUGUCAGGUGCUAUUAUUAUUAUGUAGCUCUCAAUACCCACAACCAGAGAAUUUUAGAGGUGGAAGAGAUCUUGCUUAUUAUACGUUCAAUCCUGCUUAAGAAUUCCUGCUACAGUAUCUCUUCCAAGUGGACUGAAACAGGGUCUGUUAUCUACAAACCACUGGCGAUGGGAACUCACUACUUCCCAAGAAGUAAGGUGUAUCUUCCAUCUCAGUGGCUCUACUAGUUAAACACUCACUUCGUAAUGGGACCAAAACCCCUUGGUGAUCUUUUGUCCAUUCAUUCUUUUGCACAAGUCUAGCCAUUUUCCCUUGUGGCAACCUUCCUUUCACACCCCAUCAUGCCUAUUUCCUGGGAAGAAUCUGCUUUCCAGAUUCUUCCAACAAUUCUAGAGCCUUUACUACUUUGAAUUCCAACAACCAUCACUGGGCCUCCACUAUAUGCAAAGCAUGUGGCUUUCAUGGAUGUUAUGCAUUCCCAAAGGGAAAAAAAGAUGUGCAGAGUCAUUGCAGCUCACAGCUGAGCUAUGGGCUGUGAGACACACAAAAGAGUAGUGAAACAGACUUGAGCAUCAACCGGCAGGAUGGAGACUCACCAGGAGGGAUUACAUCACAAUCACACAGGGAACCACUGUCACUUUAAUCAUUUAUCACCUGACUAGUUCCUCUCUGUGAUGUGGAAAUUGUAUCCUCAACUGCCAGUUUACCUAAUGAUUAGAAAAGUAUAGGGAAAAUAGAAAGGAGGGAAGGGCAGGAUCCAAUCACCAAAGCAAAAUUGGGACAAGCUAAUGUAUUUCUGCCAAGAUUGGUAGAAACAAGCACAGAUCUAUUUCCUUUGAGCUGCUUUUUAUGAAAUGGUACUGGGCUGGCAUUUCCUUCUCACAAGAUUUGCUGUAGAAAUCGUAACUGUUAGAGUGGGAAGGAAAUUUGAGAUCAUCUUGUCUAAAGCUCCCAUUUGACAGAUGGAGAAACGGAGGAGCAGACUGGUUAAAUGACUUGAAGUGGUGGCAAAGCUGGACUACAGCUGAAGUCAUCAGGUUCCUAGUCAGUCCAGUGCUCCAGCCACUCUACAAUGCUGCUACUAAGACAGGCGUUCAUAAAAAUCACUUGUUCCCAUUUGACUUGAGGACUUACACUCAUUGUUGCGUUAAUCUCUGCCACCGUUUCUUCAUCAGUGGGAAACUGAUAUAUCUGGACCCCAUUGCUGACCAGUUCACUCAUGAUCUUACUCUUGAAUUUGUGCAGUUCAUUCUUGGCAAUGGUGUCAGCUUUUGCAAUUAUUGGAAUGAUGUUCACCUGUAAAACAGACACGUCCAUUUUUACACAAUUCCAACAUAAGAAAAAUAGACAAGUGAAUAAAACAUAGCAAACAAAUAAAAAUUGCAAAACCUUACUGUAAAAAAUAAAGAUGUUUCCUACUUAUAUCAAAA